rnacentral:misc_RNA from 1 species
CCGAGUGAGGGCCCACGGCCCGACCUCCAACCCUUUGUGAUAUCGACCGCGUUGCUUUGGGGGUGACCCGGCUCCCGCAGCCCGGGGCCCCCAGAGUUCCCAUCAACUCUGCGUCCUUGCGUCGGAGUCACAAGUUUAAAUUUAUUA